rnacentral:rRNA from 1 species
AGAGUUUGAUCAUGGCUCAGAUUGAACGCUGGCGGCAUGCCUUACACAUGCAAGUCGGACGGCAGCACGGGGGCAACCCUGGUGGCGAGUGGCGAACGGGUGAGUAAUACAUCGGAACGUGUCCUGGAGUGGGGGAUAGCCCGGCGAAAGCCGGAUUAAUACCGCAUACGCUCUGAGGAGGAAAGCGGGGGAUCUUCGGACCUCGCGCUCAAGGGGCGGCCGAUGGCAGAUUAGGUAGUUGGUGGGGUAAAGGCCUACCAAGCCGACGAUCUGUAGCUGGUCUGAGAGGACGACCAGCCACACUGGGACUGAGACACGGCCCAGACUCCUACGGGAGGCAGCAGUGGGGAAUUUUGGACAAUGGGGGCAACCCUGAUCCAGCAAUGCCGCGUGUGUGAAGAAGGCCUUCGGGUUGUAAAGCACUUUUGUCCGGGAAGAAAGCUUCGGGGUUAAUACCUCUGGAGGAUGACGGUACCGGAAGAAUAAGCACCGGCUAACUACGUGCCAGCAGCCGCGGUAAUACGUAGGGUGCGAGCGUUAAUCGGAAUUACUGGGCGUAAAGCGUGCGCAGGCGGUGCUGUAAGACCGAUGUGAAAUCCCCGGGCUUAACCUGGGAACUGCAUUGGUGACUGCAGCGCUGGAGUAUGGCAGAGGGGGGUGGAAUUCCACGUAGCAGUGAAAUGCGUAGAGAUGUGGAGGAACACCGAUGGCGAAGGCAGCCCCCUGGGCCAAUACUGACGCUCAUGCACGAAAGCGUGGGGAGCAAACAGGAUUAGAUACCCUAGUAGUCC